rnacentral:rRNA from 1 species
GGCUUAGUGCUCGAAAGAGAGCCGUAACACAGGUGCUGCAUGGCUGUCGUCAGCUCGUGUCGUGAGAUGUUCGGGUUAAGUCCCGCAACGAGCGCAACCCUUGUCAUUAGUUGCUACGAAAGGGCACUCUAAUGAGACUGCCGGUGACAAACCGGAGGAAGGUGGGGAUGACGUCAAGUCCUCAUGGCCCUUAUAGGUGGGGCUACACACGUCAUACAAUGGCCGGUACAAAGGGUCGCAAACCCGCGAGGGGGAGCCAAUCCAUCAAAGCCGGUCGUAGUCCGGAUCGCAGUCUGCAACUCGACUGCGUGAAGUCGGAAUCGCUAGUAAUCGUGGAUCAGCAUGUCACGGUGAAUACGUUCCCGGGUCUU